UUUUGUGCUCGCUCUUUUCGCAUUAUCUUUCGUGCGAUCUUUCCAUUCCUACUUGUUGUUUGAUAAGUAGUACGGAAUUAUCUCACAUUAGAUAUUGGGAGUUUUCUUCAACUAUUUUU
rnacentral:precursor_RNA from 15 species